UAGGGGAUGACGUCAAGUCAUCAUGGCCCUUACGACCAGGGCUACACACGUGCUACAAUGGCGCAUACAAAGAGAAGCGACCUCGCGAGAGCAAGCGGACCUCAUAAAGUGCGUCGUAGUCCGGAUUGGAGUCUGCAACUCGACUCCAUGAAGUCGGAAUCGCUAGUAAUCGUGGAUCAGAAUGCCACGGUGAAUACGUUCCCGGGCCUUGUACACACCGCCCGUCACACCAUGGGAGUGGGUUGCAAAAGAAGUAGGUAGCUUAACCUUCGGGAGGGCGCUUACCACUUUGUGAUUCAUGACUGGGGUGAAGUCGUAACAAGGUAACCGUAGGGGAACCUGCGGUUGGAUCACCUCCUUACCUGAAAGAAGC
rnacentral:rRNA from 1 species